rnacentral:rRNA from 1 species
AUUGAACGCUGGCGGCAGGCCUAACACAUGCAAGUCGAGCGGAUGAAGGGAGCUUGCUCCUGGAUUCAGCGGCGGACGGGUGAGUAAUGCCUAGGAAUCUGCCUGGUAGUGGGGGAUAACGUCCGGAAACGGGCGCUAAUACCGCAUACGUCCUGAGGGAGAAAGUGGGGGAUCUUCGGACCUCACGCUAUCAGAUGAGCCUAGGUCGGAUUAGCUAGUUGGUGGGGUAAAGGCCUACCAAGGCGACGAUCCGUAACUGGUCUGAGAGGAUGAUCAGUCACACUGGAACUGAGACACGGUCCAGGCUCCUACGGUAGGCAGCAGUGGGGAAUAUUGGACAAUGGGCGAAAGCCUGAUCCAGCCAUGCCGCGUGUGUGAAGAAGGUCUUCGGAUUGUAAAGCACUUUAAGUUGGGAGGAAGGGCAGUAAGUUAAUACCUUGCUGUUUUGACGUUACCAACAGAAUAAGCACCGGCCAACUUCGUG